UACGGAGGGGGCUAGCGUUGUUCGGAAUUACUGGGCGUAAAGCGCACGUAGGCGGAUAUUUAAGUCAGGGGUGAAAUCCCGGGGCUCAACCCCGGAACUGCCUUUGAUACUGGGUAUCUGGAGGUCGAGAGAGGCGAGUGGAAUUCCGAGUGUAGAGGUGAAAUUCGUAGAUAUUCGGAGGAACACCAGUGGCGAAGGCGGCUCACUGGACCGGAACUGACGCUGAGGCUGCGAAAGCGUGGGGAGCAAACAGGG
rnacentral:rRNA from 1 species